UAGGGAAUCUUCGGCAAUGGGGGGAACCCUGACCGAGCAACGCCGCGUGAGUGAAGAAGGUUUUCGGAUCGUAAAGCUCUGUUGUUAAGGAAGAACGAGUGUGAGAAUGGAAAGUUCAUGCUGUGACGAUACUUAACCAGAAAGGGACGGCUAACUACGUGCCAGCAGCCGCGGUAAUACGUAGGUCCCGAGCGUUGUCCGGAUUUAUUGGGCGUAAAGCGAGCGCAGGCGGUUAGAAAAGUCUGAAGUGAAAGGCAGUGGCUCAACCAUUGUAGGCUUUGGAAACUGUUUAACUUGAGUGCAGAAGGGGAGAGUGGAAUUCCAUGUGUAGCGGUGAAAUGCGUAGAUAUAUGGAGGAACACCGGUGGCGAAAGCGGCUCUCUGGUCUGUAACUGACGCUGAGGCUCGAAAGCGUGGGGAGCGAACAGG
rnacentral:rRNA from 1 species